CAAACUCGGUGCUUGCUAUAGUCCGAGUUUCUUCCCCGCAUGGGGGUAACGGAGUGUCUGGUGGUUCGCUUGUGUUUGCGCAGCUUGGUCUCCGUUUGUGUGGUUGAUGUUGUCGGGUGUUCCCCGGUUUGAACGUCAACCCGGGUGGGCUCUGUGGCUUGGGGGUAAGUGGGAACGCUGUUGCUGUGCCCAAGGACUUUCCCCUCACCUCCCUCUGCC